GAUGAACGCUGGCGGCGUGCCUAAUACAUGCAAGUCGAGCGAACAGAUAAGGAGCUUGCUCCUUUGAAGUUAGCGGCGGACGGGUGAGUAACACGUGGGUAACCUACCUAUAAGACUGGGAUAACUUCGGGAAACCGGAGCUAAUACCGGAUAACAUUUAGAACCGCAUGGUCCUAAAGUGAAAGAUGGUUUUGCUAUCACUUAUAGAUGGACCCGCGCCGUAUUAGCUAGUUGGUAAGGUAACGGCUUACCAAGGCGACGAUACGUAGCCGACCUGAGAGGGUGAUCGGCCACACUGGAACUGAGACACGGUCCAGACUCCUACGGGAGGCAGCAGUAGGGAAUCUUCCGCAAUGGGCGAAAGCCUGACGGAGCAACGCCGCGUGAGUGAUGAAGGGUUUCGGCUCGUAAAACUCUGUUAUUAGGGAAGAACAAAUGUGUAAGUAACUGUGCACAUCUUGACGGUACCUAAUCAGAAAGCCACGGCUAACUACGUGCCAGCAGCCGCGGUAAUACGUAGGUGGCAAGCGUUAUCCGGAAUUAUUGGGCGUAAAGCGCGCGUAGGCGGUUUCUUAAGUCUGAUGUGAAAGCCCACGGCUCAACCGUGGAGGGUCAUUGGAAACUGGGAAACUUGAGUGCAGAAGAGGAAAGUGGAAUUCCAUGUGUAGCGGUGAAAUGCGCAGAGAUAUGGAGGAACACCAGUGGCGAAGGCGACUUUCUGGUCUGUAACUGACGCUGAUGUGCGAAAGCGUGGGGAUCAAACAGGAUUAGAUACCCUGGUAGUCCACGCCGUAAACGAUGAGUGCUAAGUGUUAGGGGGUUUCCGCCCCUUAGUGCUGCAGCUAACGCAUUAAGCACUCCGCCUGGGGAGUACGACCGCAAGGUUGAAACUCAAAGGAAUUGACGGGGACCCGCACAAGCGGUGGAGCAUGUGGUUUAAUUCGAAGCAACGCGAAGAACCUUACCAAAUCUUGACAUCCUUUGAAAACUCUAGAGAUAGAGCCUUCCCCUUCGGGGGACAAAGUGACAGGUGGUGCAUGGUUGUCGUCAGCUCGUGCCGUGAGAUGUUGGGUUAAGUCCCGCAACGAGCGCAACCCUUAAGCUUAGUUGCCAUCAUUAAGUUGGGCACUCUAGGUUGACUGCCGGUGACAAACCGGAGGAAGGUGGGGAUGACGUCAAAUCAUCAUGCCCCUUAUGAUUUGGGCUACACACGUGCUACAAUGGACAAUACAAAGGGCAGCUAAACCGCGAGGUCAUGCAAAUCCCAUAAAGUUGUUCUCAGUUCGGAUUGUAGUCUGCAACUCGACUACAUGAAGCUGGAAUCGCUAGUAAUCGUAGAUCAGCAUGCUACGGUGAAUACGUUCCCGGGUCU
rnacentral:rRNA from 1 species